GGCAAUCUACCUCAAAGUUGGGGACAAGCCGUCGAAAGGCGGACUAAUACCGAAUGUGGUUGCUGUUCAUAAGAAUGGGCAACUAAAGGCGGGGAUCUUUCGGGACCUGCCGCUUAGAGAGGAGCCCGCGUACCAUCAGCUAGUUGGUGAGGUAACGGCCCACCAAGGCUUACGGUUAGCUGGUCUGAGAGGAUGGUCAGCCGCACUGGGACUGAGACACUGCCCAGACUCCUACGGGAGGCUGCAGUCGAGGAUCUUCUGCAAUGGGCGCAAGCCUGACAGAGCGACGCUGCGUGGAGGAUGAAGGCCUUCGGGUUGUAAACUCCUGUCAUUUGGGAACAAUGAGCGCGGUGUUAAUAACAUCGCGUAGUGAUGGUACCAAAGAGGAAGCCACGGCUAACUCUGUGCCAGCAGCCGCGGUAAUACAGAGGUGGCGAGCGUUGUUCGGAUUUACUGGGCGUAAAGGGUGCGUAGGUGGUUCCGUGUGUCGGAUGUGAAAUCCCAUUGCUCAACGAUGGAAGGGCAUUCGAGACUGCGGGGCUAGAGUGCAGGAAGGGAGAGCGGAAUUCUCGGUGUAGCGGUGAAAUGCGUUGAUAUCGAGAGGAACACCGGCGGCGAAGGCGGCUCUCUGGAAUGCAACUGACACUGAGGCACGAAAGCUAGGGGAGCAAACAGGUUUAGAUACCCUGGUAGUCCUAGCUGUAAACGGUGCGCACUUGGUGUGGGGAGAAUUAACCCUCCCCGUGCCGGAGCUAACGCGUUAAGUGCGCCGCCUGGGAAGUACGGUCGCAAGACUAAAACUCAAAGAAAUUGACGGGGGCCCGCACAAGCGGAGGAGCAUGUGGCUUAAUUCGAUGCAACGCGAAGAACCUUACCAGGACUUGACAUGCAACUGCACGCCCCGCGAAAGCGGGGAAGCCUUCGAGGGUGUUGCACAGGUGCUGCAUGGCUGUCGUCAGUUCGUGCCGUGAGGUGUUGGGUUAAGUCCCGCAACGAACGCAACCCUUGUGAUUAGUUGCCACUCCCGAUGAUGAGUCGGGAAGCACUCUGAUCAGACUGCCCGUUAGGGAGGAAGGUGGGGACGACGUCAAGUCAGUAUGGCCCUUACGUCCUGGGCUGCACACGUGCUACAAUGGCCGGUACAGAGGGAAGCAAGACCGCGAGGUGGAGCAAAUCCCAAAAACCGGCCCCAGUUCGGAUUGAAGGCUGCAACUCGCCUUCAUGAAGUUGGAUUCGCUAGUAACGGCGUAUCAGCUACGGCGCCGUGAAUACGUUCCCGGGCCUUGUACACACCGCCCGUCACAUCAUGAAAGCCGUCUGCACCCCAAGUUGCCGUCGCCAACUCGCAAGAGAGGCAGGCACCCAAGGUGUGGGUGGUAAUUGGGAUGAAGUCGAAACAAGGUA
rnacentral:rRNA from 1 species